rnacentral:rRNA from 1 species
GAUUUCUGGUUUAGUGCGCUUGGCCCGCCACGGUUUCGUGCGUGAGUGCCGAUGCGCGCUUACCAUCCUUCUGGAGAACGUUCCUGCCCUUUGCUGGGUUGGGUUCGCAAUCCAGAACUUUUACUUUGAAAAAAUUAGAGUGUUUAAAGCAGGCUUUUGCUAUGAAUACAUUAGCAUGGAAUAAUGAUUUAGGACUUGAGUCUUAUUUUGUUGGUUUCCAGGACUGAAGUAAUGAUUGAUAGGGAUAGUUGGGGGUGCUAGUAUUCAGCGGCCAGAGGUGAAAUUCUUGGAUUCGCUGAAGACUAACUUAUGCGAAAGCAUU